rnacentral:lncRNA from 1 species
AACAAGUACUUGUGUUUUCGUUUUAACCUGAUUACAAAAUCAUCAAAAUCCCUUAUCAAAAAUAAGAAAAGAUUAUUAUAAAAGAUGUGCAAUAUCAUGAAAAAAAUUGCAUAGCACUUUCUUAUGAAAAGUACGAAAUUAAGCACUUAAAUUCUAUACAAAAACGCAGACAAACAGAGAGAAGAAUAUCGUUUGAUAUUUAAAAAAACUUAGCAAUAGAAUCAGAUUUUUAUAUCUUCAAAAUAGUAAAGGCGGAGGAAAAAUAAGUCACCUUACAAAUGACCCGGCCAUUCACAAAUAUGAGGCUCGAACGAAUGCUGGACUGAACUCUAACUCUGCUAACACCAUUAAGACUGAAUUCGUCGAAUAUCACUGUUCAUUUCCUAGAAAGAACAGGUUUAGGAAAUCAGCUUCAAACACAUGACUUUGAAAUUUUUUAGAAAAUACGGUGCUACAAUUUCUGUUUUAAGAAAGUAAAUAAAUAAAUCAAACAUAAUUAAGUAACUUAUUUACUAAAAAAAAAUAAGUACAUUCAUACAUACUACCAAUAGAGAACGAAAAAAAUAUACAUCCUAAAGCAAGAUAUCAUUUAGACAUUGCAAAAAAUUAAUUAAGAAACAUAAAAUUGAACUGGUAAAAUUAACUUCUGUAAAAACGAAAAAGAACAUAUCUACCAUAGAUUGAACGAUUUUAAAUUUAAAAGAAGACAAAAAAAAAAAAAAAAAAAAAAAAAAAAAAAAAAAAAAACACACAAACAAAAACAAAACACUCACACUAAACAUACAAACUUCAUUAAAUUGACCAUGCCCAAACUUCAAGUUGUGUUUACCAAAGCUUUCAGUCAUUGAAUUAGUUCAAGGUAGCUAACCUGCUAGAUUUUCCAAAAAAUGUAGCAACUCAUGACCAAACUUCAAAUUUCUAAAAGCACAGUGUUUGAUUGGAGGCGGAAUAUCUACUAAAUUUAAAAUAAAAAUCCACAAAACUACAUAAAUUGAAACUUCAAUUUUUCUUCAAAAGCUCAACUUUCUUUCUCAUAUCAAUUGAAUCAUAGAACUUAAUUCCAAAACCAAAUCAGUUCAUCCAAUCUAAUUUGUUCUCAAACCCAACCAACAUGAGGCUAAAAGAACAUAUUGACCAUAGAUUCAAGAAAUUUAAAUUUGAAAAAAAAAAAUCUAAACACACGAACUACGCAUAACUUCAAAAAGUUCCAGCCUGAAAAUUUAACAAGGUACACAAUUACGAUUUGUGUUGCAAGAGAAGUGAAAAAGGUACAAAAACUUUUGAAUACGAACAAGAUAACAAUUUUAAUAGAAAAGCUAAGUACAAAUUAUAGAAGAAAUUCAGAUUUUAUAGAAAAAAGCUGAAAAAAAACAUACCUUUUAACCAACCCGUAAACUUCACAACACAAUACCUGAAGAAAUUAACAAGAACCGACCACAGACAAAGUAAGGAACGGAAACACAAAUUGCGAAAAGUAGGUUGCAUAAACUAACUAAAAUGCAAUAGAAUGAAAUAGAGAAAUCAAAUGAAAAACACGAACAAACUUACCUUCAAUACAACAUUGUUCUGCAAAUCUAUGGAUGAAAGAGAAGAGCACGAAAGACGAUUUUCUAGGGUUCUUUCUAUUCGAGAAUGAAG